rnacentral:rRNA from 1 species
AGAGUUUGAUCAUGGCUCAGAUUGAACGCUGGCGGCAGGCUUAACACAUGCAAGUCGAGCGGAGAUGAGGUGCUUGCACCUUAUCUUAGCGGCGGACGGGUGAGUAAUGCUUAGGAAUCUGCCUAUUAGUGGGGGACAACAUUCCGAAAGGGAUGCUAAUACCGCAUACGUCCUACGGGAGAAAGCAGGGGAUCUUCGGACCUUGCGCUAAUAGAUGAGCCUAAGUCGGAUUAGCUAGUUGGUGGGGUAAAGGCCUACCAAGGCGACGAUCUGUAGCGGGUCUGAGAGGAUGAUCCGCCACACUGGGACUGAGACACGGCCCAGACUCCUACGGGAGGCAGCAGUGGGGAGUAUUGGACAAUGGGGGGAACCCUGAUCCAGCCAUGCCGCGUGUGUGAAGAAGGCCUUAUGGUUGUAAAGCACUUUAAGCGAGGAGGAGGCUACUGAGACUAAUACUCUUGGAUAGUGGACGUUACUCGCAGAAUAAGCACCGGCUAACUCUGUGCCAGCAGCCGCGGUAAUACAGAGGGUGCGAGCGUUAAUCGGAUUUACUGGGCGUAAAGCGUGCGUAGGCGGCUUUUUAAGUCGGAUGUGAAAUCCCCGAGCUUAACUUGGGAAUUGCAUUCGAUACUGGGAAGCUAGAGUAUGGGAGAGGAUGGUAGAAUUCCAGGUGUAGCGGUGAAAUGCGUAGAGAUCUGGAGGAAUACCGAUGGCGAAGGCAGCCAUCUGGCCUAAUACUGACGCUGAGGUACGAAAGCAUGGGGAGCAAACAGGAUUAGAUACCCCGGUAGUCCAA